AUCAAAGAUAGGACUACCAUCCAAUUGUUUGUUUAUUUAUUUAAUUACUCAAAACACACAUUUUACCCAUACUGGUUUUUCACUUCGGGUAUUUUCUGUUACAGUCAUUACUCAUUUAAGGGUCUCAGCAGGCGAAAAUCAUGAGUAACUGCACAGGCUCUCUAUGCUACUGUGGAAUAGAGAUGGGAAAAUGGCUCUCAGGUAGUGUGUGUGUAUGGACUCUAUUGGUAAAUACUAGAAUAGCCUGUGUGUGUGUGUGUGUGUGUGUGUGUGUGUGUGUGUGUGUGUGUGCGUGCGUGCAUGCACGUGUCUGCGUGUGCGCGGGUGUCUGCUCUCAUAAGUCUUGUGGUAUAUCAUUAGAGUCACAGUACCCUGAGUGAAUGGUUCUAGAUAGGUAGAUGGGAACAUUGUGGUGUUUGCAAAGAAUUCUGUGCUAAAGGGAACCAGUACAUGAACAUUUAAAAUCAACAUCUAGUCACAAUACAGAUACGAUGUGACUAGAAGUACUUCUGAGCCUGGAGAAACUCAAUUUCUGAGAAAUUGGUGGCUAACCCUAGGGCCAAUCUAUCAACUAAUCAAUAAACCAAUCAAUGAAUUAAAGGGUACUAUGUGUUUGUUACAGGGCUUGAUAUGUGAGAGCAACACACUGGAGACUCCACACUGUAAGCGUGUAAGCCCAGCACCUUAUUACUUUCACAUAUCCAGUCCAGUCCAAUUCAAUGUGUCAGUGCGUGUGCCUGUGUGUCGUACAUGAGCAUGUGUGUGUGUGUGUGUGUGUGUGUAGGUGUGUAUAUGUCUUGUGUGUAUUUGGGCAUUUGAAAAAAACAUAUUCGAUUAAACGUCCAGUUAACCAGUCAGAUUAUCCUUGGGGAGAGUCCCUGGCACCUUGACCUCUGCAGCAGAGGUCAAUCCUAAAGGUUGAAGGCAGAAGGGGAGGGGCCACACACAAUGGCUGUUUCACCCUGAGAGCCAUUCCUCCUCUUAACCACCCAUCCUGUUCAGCAGUUCUCUGCCUGCCUUUCUCCGUCUUUUCUCUCCAUUUCUCUCCUCUUUAUUGGAAAUUGAUUGUCUUCUACCAUCACAAUGACACUUGGUUCUGAUUGAUUGGCAGGUAAGGGAAGAGGGAGAGAACAUUUUGUACUAGGGCUGAGAGAGCGCUGGGACUCUCCUGCACUCCGGAGCAAAAAUGGAUGCCUUACAUUAUAUACAUGAGCCUACUUCAGUAGCCUGAGUGCCAGUCUGUUUCUGCAUUAGCCAACACUUUUAUCUUAGCUUUGGUGAAUGCAAAAACAGUCAGGCAGCCAGGGCACUACUUCAGGACAGUGCUAGUUUGAGAGAUACACACAGGUGCCUUCAAUUCAACAACAUGAAACAAGCAGUGAAUACACAUGAAAUAAUACAGAGAAAAGACCAAAAGAUCCCCAUCAUCCCUCACUAGCACACAUCAGGACAGGGUUACAAACACAACAACAGACACAACAGACCAGGAAGAAAGACAGAGUCGGGGAGGAGGAGACAACACAUACAGUACAUACACACAACACAUACACAACCAGCACAAACAAAAUAACAUCUGAAAGGAAAGAAAGCAUCACAUGGCAUCACCCCUUUUCUUAACUUCUCUUUUCCAGCCCCAGUCGUUCUUUCCUUUUCUCGCCCUCUCCUUUACCCGGGAGUACAUUUCAUCCUGCAGUUUCUAUACAGCUAUAUAAUAUCCAUGCAUAUAAGAAUCGCUCGCGUCGCCCCUGACAACAGAGGUGCUCUGGUGGGUUGGUUCUCUGUUUAAUAUGGGGAUCACUUGAACACACACAGGAGGCAGUUGGCUAACAAAGCUGUAGUUUUUAAGAAAAUAAAUAUGAAAAGAAAAAAAGGAACACUAUUUGUCCACAAUGUGUUAUCGUUGGUUUUCAAAUUAACAUUUUUUUUUUUUUACUAUCCUGUAUUUUUUUCCAUUCUUUAGUCCUAUACCCUGAUGUUACCCUACAUACUGGAAGUUACCUAUACACCUCCACCCUAGAUUUCUUACAACCUACCACCCUUCCCCUCACACCAUUCUUUAUGCGCUAGAACACUUUCACCAUCCUUCCCCUAUGGCCUUAAACCCACCCUACCUCCCUUAUUCUUGACCCUACAACUCUUACACCCUACACUUCCCCUCUACCCAUAAUCCUAUCUUCUUACACCAUACCGCCCUCACAGCUUACCUCCUUUCCCCUCUGCCCUACAGCCCUACCACAUUACUUCACCGAUUCUUUCCACAACUCGUCAGCUUUUACCUUCUAUCUUUCCCACAUUCUUCUUUACCCAUCCCAUUACUUUUAGCUACAGUCAGUCUCCCUCAUCACAGGAUACAGAGGAAUAAAUCAAUAAAUCAACAAAACGUAUCAAACAGUAAAAAGGCUUCUAGUACAUAUUCUCCAUGAAUAAAAACAAUUAUUUUAGCAGUGACUCAUGACUCUCAUUGCUAAUAACGUUGUUAUUGUUUCACUACGUAACCUUUAUAUUAAAGAUUUGAGGUAUAUUGGGAUGAAAUGUCUACACAUGCCUGCCUAGUUGUCAAGCUAGCCGGGACAGGGGAUAGGUGAAGAGGGUUAGAGCCGGGACAGGGGAUAUGUGAAGAGGGUUAGAGCCGGGACAGGGGAUAGGUGAAGAGGGUUAGAGCCGGGACAGGGGAUAGGUGAAGAGGGUUAGAGCCGGGACAGGGGAUAGGUGAAGAGGGUUAGAGUGGAGUGCGGUGGAACACUGUAUGUUUUUGGGGAUAGCUGAUUGGCCAUUGAUUUACCCCAAUGCUAGCCAGUUAAAGAGAGAUAUCUGAGGGUGUGGUUUUGAAUCACAGAAAGUGCAGACCCAUCACGUGGCACACUCACACUCCCGCUAUAAAUUACAUAAAAAUAUCUCUGGUAGGAGUGUGUGUGUGACAAAAUACAGACACACCUCAAUACCUGGGGCACAUUAACAUCCGACUGCAAGCACACAUACACACUUGCACGCACUGGCACUCACACACACACACACACAAACACGUGCACAAACACAGGCUCUCUGUUGAUCAAACCAACACCACCCAUGUCAAAUAUGUCAAAUGUGUCUCAUUCAAUGACCCAUGUGAUCAUUUGGUUAAGGUAAGAAUUAAUAAAUAAUAGGAGUAAUAAAAUGUACAAAACAAAGUGCUUUUUGAAUUCCAAUGGGAGUUGAUUCUAAGCUUGUGUAUACCGUUCCAUCCUGUAUGUGCCCCCUACACCUUGGCAUGCGUUUAAUGAGGUGUGUGUCUGUGCACAUUUGUACUUCUGUGCAUGUCUGUUUGUGCAUGUGUGUGUUCAGAGCAGUCCAACCCGUGGUUGAAGGAAAAAGGCACUCAACUCUGUCUGCAUAGCUACCACCUCCCUGUGGUCAAUAUACAGUGCAACUGCUCUGUGUGCGGGUUUAUGAUUUACAGUGUGUGUGUGUGUGUGUGUGUGUGUGUGUGUGUGUGUGUGUGUGUGUGUGUGUGUGUG
rnacentral:lncRNA from 1 species